UAGAGAUCCAAGAGCAAUCAUCGAGAUCUCGUCGAAUUCAGGUACGAGAGUUAGAUUGCAUAUUCGUGAGUGGUCAUAAAGAGGGGAGGAUGUCGAUUCCUCCAUUCCCAAACUCUUUCACUCAUUUUCGUUUGGGUUUUGGUAGAACUUUUCUUAAUGAAAAUGAAAUCUAUCGAUUAUAACAUGCUGAAUAAACUCUUAACAAGUUGUAUGAACAAAAUUAUGGGGUUUUGAAUGGAAAUUUGUAGAUGUUUCGGUAAGAACUUGGUUGUUUAUGAGUUUAGAUCUAAAUGUGUCAAAUCCAUGAAAUAAGUUAUUAUUGAUGUUAUUAAGUUGCUUUUUAAGUGCUUUUGAACAUGUAUAAACAUAUUCUAUGUGUGGUAUGUUUUAUGGAGUUCAAAUAAGUGAUUUUGGGUCAAAAUAAGUGCUUUUACGCUCAAAAUCGUGUUUUGACAGAUCUGGACUGAUCCCCUGCGCCUGGGCGCAGCUUUUCUGCGCCUGGCGCAAUAUUUUCGAGAAAAUCUGCUGGUUCCUACGCCUGGGCGCAGCUUUUCUGCGCAUGGCGCAGCUCGGUCAAAUUUCUGCGUUGGCCGUUGACUUUUUGUUGACUUUUGACUUUUUGAUUGUUUAUGUACCCGGAACCUAUUUUACUCGGUUUUUUGCGUAGAUUCUGAUUCCGAAGUUUGUUUUGUGAGAUAAUUCAUGUUUAAUACAAUAAUCUUAUAUAAUUAGUAUUGUGUUAAAAUGCGAGGUAAAUACAUUGUAGGUGAUGAUCGAUGUAUGUUGAUAACAUGGAUUAAUUGUAUCCUUGUUGAUGUGUUGAUGAUAUUUGUUUAAAUAUCAAAGAAGUAUAUUAAGAAUGAGAUGGUAACAUGAUUUAUUCUAUGCUUAUGUGAUGAUGUAUGCGAUUAAAUUAUGUGUGCGUAUCAUGUUUGGAAUGUGCAAUGAAUAUUGUAAUGAGAAGAUAAUUAUUAAUAGGAAUAAUUAUGAUGUUGACGAUUGUUGAUGGUUUUUGAUGAUGUUUGUUUAAAUAUCAAAGAUGAAUAUUAGGUAUAGUGUUAUCUAAUAAAGACGAAAUGUUGGAUAGUGUUCCACAUUUAUAUUUGACGAGCUUAGUGCUAAAUCUAUUUGUUGAUGUGUCUUAAUAAAUGAGCAGAGUCCGUCAUGACUUAAAUCUGAACAAUGAGCAGAGUCCGUCAUGACUUAAAUCUGAACAAUGCAGAGUCCGUCAUGACUUGAAUCUGAACACGAGUAGUGUCCUAAAUGACUUAAAAUUGUAUGGAUUAUGUAUCCGAAAAUGAAUGAAUAAAUGGUAUCACAUGCAUAAGAGAUGUCUUGGGUGAUAUGAGUGAUUGGCAUUAGUUGUGUUAGGGACUAUGUGUAUCGCUAAUUAAUAAUUGGCACUGCAAUGGCAUAAUUGUACUUGAAUGACUAUGUGAAGUUAUGUGUACAUAUUAUGUGAUAUUUGAUAUGUGACAUUGUUGUCAAUUAACCGACUAUCUUAUUGAUGUGUGUGAUGGUUCUUUGUUGGAAUGGUUGUCGAUGUAUUAUUUGGAAUGUGUUGAAGUUUUUAGAUAUGUGUGAUUCUAAAUGUUGCUCUAAUACUUGAUUAUUGUGUAAUCUUAGAGUUGAACUAUGAACUAAGCAUGUGUGUGCGUGAGUUAGAUACAAAAUGUUGGCAUGUGUUAAGUAUGCUCCUUGCAUAUGUAAUUAUUUGGAUUAUGUUUUCUAACUCUCUGUUUUGUGUAUUUGACUGGUUUGGGACCAGACCCACAGGUUAUGUGUUUAUCGCGGUUCAAGUGUUGGUGAAGCUCCGCUCUGAUUAUGACACGGGAAAGGGGUGUACUUAGUGUAUAGAGUCUUUAGGACUUAUUAUAUUUAUUUGGAAAAAUGCAUCUUUUCAUAAAGAAGAUUUAAGUUGUAUAAACACAGUUUUACUAAAUACAUUAGUAUUAUUUUUGUAAUGAGGAGUGUAAUACCUUGAACCAAUAUCUAAUAAAUAAAUUGUGAUUUUCCGUUGCGUA
rnacentral:lncRNA from 1 species